AUUAGAGAUGAAGACAGAAUCGGACUGAAUCCCAAAGUCUGACUCACCUGCUUCUGUCCCCUCUCCUGGACAACACAGGGAAAGAAAAAGUACAACUCUUCCCCCACGUAGUACCAGCAGGGUAACCCGAGAACAUCCAUUUAGCACGUCUGUCCCUGCAAAAAGGACCUUCCAGUGACACCAAGCUGAGCGUAUCCUCGCUCUAUUUAUAGGUGCUGUUUGUUUCAUUUGAGUCCAGUCUCUAAGAAUAAGUAAUGAACUCAUCUUGGGGAUCAGCCAGAGCCUACAACUCUGAGACGACCCGUAAAGCCCUUUCCCUUUCCUUCUGGUUCUGGAAGGGAUUCUGUAGUUCAAAGGGACAGAAGAGUUCCUUUCGGGUCACCCCUUGGACUGCCUCUUCCCAGCCCCCUGUGGUGGAGGAGGACGCAUAGGUCAUUGAAUUCCGUCUGUUUGUCUACACCCGCUCUUUCACCGCAGGCAAGUCAAGGGAUUGAUCCCCCUCCAUCCUGUAACCCCUCUUUUUAUCCUGCAAAUCACCUUUCACAUCUGAUGCUCCAGAAGCUCGGUGAGGU
rnacentral:lncRNA from 1 species